CCCUUAGAUGUUCUGGGCUGCACGCGUGCUACACUGAUUAUUUCAACAAGUGUUUUAACUGGAGAGUUCGCGUAAUCCUGAAAUGUUAUCAUGAUGGGAGUAGAGUAUUGUAUUUGUUAAUCUUUAACGAGGAAUUCCUAGUAAGUGUAGGUUUAUAAGUUGUUCUGAUUACGUCCCUGCCCUUUGUACACACCGCCCGUCGCUCCUACCGAUUGAUUGAUCCGGUGAAUUACAUAGAAUUUUGCGUUUUACAUGACGGAAGACGAAGUGUUUUAAACCUUAUCAUUUAGAGGAAGGAGAAGUCGUAACA
rnacentral:rRNA from 1 species